CACGUAGUUGGCCGCACCUUCUUCUGAAAGUACCGUCAGUUUCGUUCCUUCUGAAAGCGGUUUACAACCCGAGGGCCUUCUUCCCGCACGCGGCGUUGUUGCAUCAGGCUUUCGCCCAUUGUGCAAGAUUCCCCACUGCUGCCUCCCGUAGGAGUCUGGGCCGUGUCUCAGUCCCAGUGUGGCUGAUCAUCCUCUCAGACCAGCUACCCGUCGAUGCCUUGGUAGGCCAUUACCCCACCAACAAGCUGAUAGGCCGCGAGGCUCUCCCGAUCCAGUAACCCUUUCGUCAGUACUCCAUGCGAAGUUCCGACGUCAUCCGGUAUUAGCAGUCGUUCCAACUUGUUACUCCCAGAGACCCGGGACAAGUUCCUCACGUUGUUACCGCCUACCCGUUCGCCACUAGAUCUUCAUCAGUUAUUGCUACUGAAUGGAUCUCGUUCGACUUGCAUGUGUUAAGCACGCCGCCAGCGUUCUCCGUGAGCCGA
rnacentral:rRNA from 1 species